UCGCCUGUUUAUCAAAAACAUUGCCUCAUGCUUAUUUAUAUGAGGUUAUUCCUGCCCAGUGAUAUUUCAACGGCCGCAGUACCCUGACUGUGCAAAGGUAGCAUAAUCAUUUGCCUUUUAAUUGAAGGCUGGAAUGAAAGGAUUCACGUAAAUAAAGCUGUCUCUGUCGCUAUCUUAUAAACUAGACUUUAGGUGAAAAUACCUAAAUAAUAAUAAAGGACAAAAAGACCCUAUAGAGCUCUAUCUAAAAAAAUCUGUGAAAAUCUACACAUUACACCCAUUUAUCUUUAGAUUUUGUUGGGGCGACAAAGGAAUAUUCAAAUCUUCCUUAUAUUCAAUGACCUACUAGUCUCACAAUAGAUCCUUCUAGGACCAAAGAAACAAGCUACCUUAGGGAUAACAGGCUAAUCCUUUUAGAGAGUUCACAUUGACAAAAGGGAUUGGCACCUCGAUGUUGGCUUAAGAUAUCCUUUAGGUGCAGAAGCCUAAAAAG
rnacentral:rRNA from 1 species